rnacentral:rRNA from 1 species
AGGGCACCACCAGGAGUGGAGCCUGCGGCUUAAUUUGACUCAACACGGGGAAACUCACCCGGCCCGGACACCGUAAGGAUCGACAGAUUGAUAGCUCUUUCAUGAUUCGGUGGUUGGUGGUGCAUGGCCGUUCUUAGUUCGUGGAUCGAUUUGUCUGGUUUAUUCCGAUAACGAGCGAGACUCUAGCCUACUAAAUAGUAACGAGAUUAUCAAUGUCUCAGUUGCUUCUUAGAGGGAUUUUCGGUGUUUAGCCGCACGAGAUUGAGCAAUAACAGGUCUGUGAUGCCCUUAGAUGUCCGGGGCUGCACGCGCGCUACACUGGCGAAAUCAGCGUGCUGUAUCCAUUCUCGAAAGGGAUUGGUAAACCCAUGAAAAUUUGCCGUGCUUGGGAUCGGAAAUUGCAAUUAUUUUCCGUGAACGAGGAAUUCCAAGUAAGUGCGAGUCAUCAACUCGCUCUGAUUACGUCCCUGCCCUUUGUACACACCGCCCGUCGCUGCCCGGGACUGAGCCAUUUCGAGA